rnacentral:lncRNA from 1 species
AAAUGCAUCUUUUUGGAAUUCAAAUGGAAUCUUCACUUUUUCAGACUCAAGUUUGCUCAGUCAAACAUAUUUUUAUACCAUAUAGCAUAUAUCAAUGCCAUAUAUAUAUAUAUAGCAUAUAUAUAUACAUAUACCAUAUAUCAAUAUAUUUAUUGAUAUAAUUCCAUCAAUAUUUUAAGGUACCUCUCAAGUUUCUGGAACCAUAACAAAUUACUGGGGGAAAAAAUGAGCCAACCCUUAAACCCUCUUCCAAUGAGUUGAACAAUGAAAUAGGAAAUAGUUUUAAGAUCUGAGGUCUCUCUUUUCAUUAGUAACAAUUACUUCUUUGGCUGUUUCUUUUGCUCUUUAUAACAGACUUCUGUAGGAGGGACCAGCAGCUUUUUAGAGUCAGCAUGCUACAUCUUUUUACGAAUUUCAUGAAAAGAAUGAUAUGUGUGUGUGAGGGGGUAUGUGGAGUGAGGGGACAGAGGGAAAAGCAGCAGUCCCUUGCAGUUCCAUUCUUCAGAAGCCAGUAGGUGGUGAAUUAGCUUAGUCAAAUCCAGUGGUGGGGAGAGAGGUAGUUGAGGACAGCAAGGGAAGUGUGGGCUCCACAAAAUAGGGUCAAUGGAUAGAUGGGAGAUGGUGGAGGGCAGAUAGGGCGGUUUUCCUUUACAAUCUUCUGAAGUUUAAAUGUUCCUGGAAGCCAUUGUCAGUUCAUUUAUAAGAGAGUAGAACUAUUAUAGGACCCAAACCAACCAACCAACAAAGGGCCAUGUGGAGAGAGGGCUGUCUUCAGAAAGAGUGGAGUGAAUGGUUGGUUGAGUACUCCAGCAGGGAAUGCAUUUCUGAGAGUAAGGAAAAAGAAAACACGAGGGAAACUGGUGUUUGAAUUUUGGAUCAAGAUGAGAAUAGUAUGGGAAAGAAGGAAAGUUCUGGAACUUCAUGUCUAAGGGAGAGAAGAGUGAAAAUAAAAUCCUAAGUCUAAGUGAAGAUGGAGUCCUAUAAUUGACCAGUGGCUAGGGCAUGAGGAGGAAGCUAAGGUGAGUCAGAGACAGCUGAAGCAUAGAAUUUUUGGACUUCCUGAAAAAUGCAGAGGUGUUCCAUUCUUAAGUGGUAGAAUUUAGUCCACUGGGAUCUAACAUGGAUGAGUUCCUAUCUUCCAGUUCUCAUGCUCACUUCUAUUAGAAAAGAUUGGCAACUCUUAAUUACCCUUUGUGUAUUAAAAGGCUUAUCACCUCCAUUUCAGGGGCUUACAGACUGGUUUGGUGUGGGAAUACCUAAGUAUGCUCUUUCUGCAGCUUCUCAACAAAACUAUUCUUAGCAGCUGUGAUCUGUUGUGGAAGUUAGUGUGAUACUGAACAAGUUAAGCAGGUUGUCAAAUUGUCUUUCCUGUGUGACUUCUACAAAUUAAUCUGAAUAUUUUAUAGACUGACUUUAUAGGGAACAAGAAUCUGGAAUAUAGUCCAAGUUUUUCUUAAUGUGUAAGUGGGAUUAAACUUUAAAUGCUCUUGGUAAACACUGAAGAUUUAGCUAGAUACGAUAUAAUGAGGGAUGUUUAAUGACCCCUGACAUUUUUUCCAUCUUUCAGCAUGUAUGUAGAGAGAACUAUGAGUUAAAGAUAAAUAAAAUCUACCUGGAUAUGAUACUGGACAGCAUCCAUCCAUUCCCAGAAUGACAACUUUUAUGUCUUGAUUUUAAUAAUCCAUGGAAGACGAGAGGGUGUGGUUCCUUCAGAGGCUGGUGAAGUGCACCUUCCUCAGCCCAUCAAUUCUUUUUCCUGCUGUGACUCACAGAUUGAAGGCAAUAGUGAAAAUCCCUUAGUUUCAUAAAAUAUAGUUGGAUAUUUAGGAACUUGGAAAGGCUGAGCAGAAAGGAGGGGGUGCAGCAUGAAGCAACAUAUCUCAAAUCAGAACCAACUCACGGAGGCUGGCCCCCAAAGUUGUCACUGCUGCAGCCUACUGCAAUGUAGUCGGGUCAGGUGGAGUUCCCCAACUGGACAAAGAGCACCAUGAACAUUGACUGGCAAUACUUCAGAGGCCUUUUGGUGAUUGUUAGACUGGGCAGGACAGGAGGUGACACUGUGCAAUGAUUGAAAAAGAGACUCUGAAAAGAUAGAGAAAGGAGAAGGAACUGGUGGUUUUGAAAUAGAGCUGUGGAUAGAGGGGGUCAGGGGAAGAAGAGGAUGGAGGACAUUCAUCUUCAGAAGAAAGCAUCAGGGAUCCUGGCUCUUGAAGAGAGGAAGGGAGACAGGGUAGGUGCUGGUUGCAUGGGGAAAGAUGACAGAGCAUGGAUAUGAGACCCAAGCACCCCCAAUAACUGGGAUUGGACAUUUCUAGUCAGUCUGCCUAUGAGGAGAGUGAUAAAGCCUGGUGGGGAUAUUUGAUGGAUGAACCAAGGAAGAAGUAUGUGAGGUGAGAUUUUUAUAAAGAUGUGGUGGAAGACCAAUGAGAUUGUGAAUCAGGGAUGGAAAAUGUAGGACGUGUUUACUUCCUCUUUGGGCAGGAAAAGAAGAAAAGAAAACCCAUUGGCUUUAGAAUUUUUAUAUGUUUGCUAAGUGAAGUGACAAAAUAGCGUCUGAGAAGAGACCUUUGAGACACACCAGUUGAAAGAGGAAUGAUGGUGAGAAGCUAUUAGUGUUUAAGGGCUCCCUGAACCUGUGAGAGAUAAGAUUGGGUUUGGCUCAGGAAGGAGGACAAAAGAUAAAGGUCCAGGGACAAGUGAGAUAAAUCCAACCGUUUUUAUGGGAGAAGAGGAAGAAGAAAGAAGUGGGAUCCCCCAGAUAAUAAAAAAGUAGGAGUCCAGAAAGCGAAAGAAAAGGCCUCAAUGAGUGUGAAGUGAGCCAAGAACUCCGGAUUUGAACCCAGAGUCAAGUCUUUCCAUCGGUGUUCCAUGGGCGAGUACUAGCUUCUCCAAGUCUCAAGUUUUCGUUCUCUGAUUUUGACACGGGGGCUAAAAUACAUUCUCUGAAGGAUGAUUGAGCAAAUUCAACCACCAGAUCUCUCAUCUAUUUUUAUUUUCUAUCCUAUAAUGGAAUCUAUCUGGAGGUUCAUGGAGACGAUGUGGUGAGGGAGCAGCAGGAAGGAUAGAAUCCACGGGUAUAGGAUAUACACAUAGGGAGGGGGCUUCACAAUCAUCUGUUCAAUGGGAAAAGUUAGAGAGCUCUCUUGGACUACAGUCAUAGGGCUUGGAGGUAGAAACACACAGAUCCCAAAAGAGAACACUUUGCUUACCAUCUGCCCACUUCUUGGAGUUCUGGCCUUGUAGUUGGUCAAAAGGCAGCAAGGAUCCGUGAAGCCUGUUCUGAAUUCACCCAAGUCUAUGUGCGAAAGGCAUCCUUCUUUCGUCUUCCCACGCGAAGCGCAG